rnacentral:misc_RNA from 1 species
GCAAUGAAACCAACGAUGGGGACAGAAGAUUUUUCGUUCUUUGCUGAGGCUAUUCCUGGAUGCUUUUACUUACUUGGAAUGGUUGAUGAAACUAAAGGACGAUUCGAGUCAGGACACUCCCCUUUCUACAGAGUCAAUGAAGAUGUACUUCCAUAUGGUGUUGCUUUACAUGCAUCGUUAGCCACGACUUACCUUCUUGAACAUCAGUUGAAA